GGCUAGUCUAGCCUUCCCGCUGGGGACCUGGCCCCCUGCGGGCUCCACAACCCGCUACGGCAACCCGGACUGAGCAGGGAACACAGGGGCAGGCUAGAGCUGAGGACCUGUAGGGCCCCCGCCUGCGCUUGCGCAUUUCUUCCACCUUUUCAAGGGUAAAAGACGUUGAUGGAUCUGCCCCCAACCCUCCCCGGUAUGCACGUGCGGUUUGUCAGUCCUGCGGCCAUCACCGUUGGCACCGAGAGUCAGCUCUUGUUGCACUGUGGCAUAGGGAAGGACCCUCAGCCCCCCGCGGUCAGCAAAUGCUCCUGAGAGCCAGUCUCUUCUGAUUUCUGCCCAUGAACAGACACGCCCCUCUCGUGUGACUCCCAUUUAGAGUGAUUAGGAAGGCAGCAGCUGACUUGUUACAAACUUAACAGACAAUGGCCAGAAUGCACCAUUCACCAUGUGCAUCAGCUGCCCUCAAUCCUCGCCCACACCUUUCUUAGGGGUCCUAUGGCGAUGUCAUUUGCAUUCCCAGGGAAUAUGGAGGCUGACCGCCUUCCCAUGUGCCCCAGUGCUGCCCAUAUAUAUACCAUGCAAAAUGGUGAUAAAAAGGCAGCUUUUGUUUAAGGAUGUUAAUUGCUUCACAAUUACUGAACCAGACCAACCUUCUCUUCAUAAAAGUAGAGCAAGUGUCCCAUGAGCCCAGCUGAAGGGUUUGGAUUUAUAAGCUAGAAAGGUUUGCACACAAAGAUGCACCACCGCUCCCCCUCGCUGGAGCCAAGAGCAGGUCACGAAACAAUUGGAAAAUAACAUCAAGUCUGUGUCCCAGAAACCAAGAGGCAGAGGCAGAAGGAUCAGGGUCAGAUAAACAGUGUAGUUUAAGUUUGGUGACAGGAAGGCUGGAGAAAUGACUCAGCAGCUACAAGCACUUAUUGUGAAAACAUAAAGAUUGAAGUUCAAAUUCCAGCAUCCAUGUAGCAAGUGGAGCAUCCUGCCCACACCUGUAACCCAGGUUACAAAUUGAGUGGAACCAAUCUAGGAUGGUUGCUAGGACUUGCUGGCUCACAGCCUAGAUGAGAAAACAGCCUGAGGUUUGGGGAGAGACCCUGCCUCAAAGGAAAAGAUGGAAAGUGAUAGAAGAAAGCACCGACACCCACUUCUGGCAACCAUUUGCACACAAAGAUGCACCACCACUCCCCCUCGCAUGACUCCCCUCCCCCAUGCACAUGUAAAUAAUCAAAUCUUUUAAUAAAAGAAAACAUGAAGCUUGAUGACA